UCAUGCAUUUAAACAAGAUUCCAAAUUAAUUUGGUCUUCUUGGCGCUUGAAAAAUAGUACCACAUGAUAAGCGUUCGGGCCAUAUGAUCAAACAGCGAAAACAAACAAAAGGUGAUAUAUGGUACACGAGGAGCCGAGGAGAAGAACGCCAAAACAGAAGAGCGGUUUAGAUAGGGACGGUUAGAGACGUGGAGGAAGAGUUCCUUGACGAGUAAAAUAUCAGCCGAAAUAUAAUCCGGAGAAAUAGGGACAUGGCUAAAAAAUCUCUGCAAUAAGAAUCUCCUAGUAACUACAGGUGGAAGAAUAUAUUGGUAUAAAUAAGAAAAAGGGCGUGUAUGAUGGGAUCCUUCAUAGAGCAAGCGACCACAUUACAGCUCAUUUGAUGAUGACUUGAAUCAACUAGUGCCUACCAAGAGAAAAUAACAAGCAUGGUUGGGGAAAAAAUUAAUUGUUUGAAGAUGUGUCGACUGAGGGCUUAUUCUUUGCUUAGCUGGACCUUCUGGAGAAGUGCUAGUCGAGUACGUAGGGCGAGAUUUCGAGUUCAAUAGUCGUCAUUCUUAUUUGUGGUCUGUAAUUGGUACCGGCGCUUUUGAUCGUAGAUUUUUUUUUAUGAUA